rnacentral:rRNA from 1 species
UGGGGAAUUUUGCACAAUGGGGGAAACCCUGAUGCAGCGACGCCGCGUGAUUUAGAAGGCCUUCGGGUUGUAAAAAUCUUUUCUAUGGGAAGAAAAUGACAGUACCAUAGGAAUAAGGACCGGCUAAUUACGUGCCAGCAGCCGCGGUAAUACGUAAGGUCCGAGCGUUGUCCGGAAUCAUUGGGCGUAAAGGGUACGUAGGCGGGUAAGCAAGUUAGAAGUGAAAUCCUAUAGCCCAACUAUAGUAAGCUUUUAAAACUGCUCAUCUUGAGGUAUGGAAGGGAAAGUGGAAUUCCUAUUGUAGCGGUGAAAUGCGCAGAUAUUAGGAGGAAUACCGGUGGCGAAGGCGACUUUCUGGCCAUAACCUGACGCUGAGGUACGAAAGCGUGGGUAGCAAACAGG